rnacentral:lncRNA from 1 species
GUGUGGAACUCAGAAGCCCCACCUCCCGGACGUGACGCCUGUGUAGUUCCGGGCAGUGACAGCGGAAUGUAAACAGUAGCGCAGUUCCGCGGACAAAUCGACGCAGAUUCACGGAGAUUCACGGGGUCCGAGACCGGGACCGAUUCUCCCGUCCUUCAGCUGUUCUGAGGGUUAUGUCCCGGUGACAGUUCAUCUCCACGCUUCAAUUCCGACCCCUGCCUUCUCCAAAUUCAAACACCACCAACAAAACAAAACCAUUUGAACAAGGGGGCAGGGUGAACAGGACGUCCAAUCAUGGAGAGCGCUGAGGUGUCAACUGACUGUCUCCAUGGCGGCACAGAGCAUGCACUUCCUGUCCGGGCGAAGGGGGAGGAGCUGACAACGGACAGGGUGGAGUCAGAGGUGCGGCUCUGCGUGGAGGAGAGCUCCGCCAUGACGCCUUCAGAUGAACUGCACUCCAUAGACUCCGCCUCCUUCCCCAGCCUCAGCGACGGCGCCAUCACAGACGAUGACAUCACGGAGGAUGUUACCACCUAUGACAUCACCACCACGGAGGACAUCACCACAGUGGGCGGGCCCUCCCCAGAGCCGCCCGCGCAGAAAGCAGCGGAUUCCAAAACAGAUUUCACAGGAAAGGCAGCCCCGUCCUCCUCCCCUUCUACCUCAGCCCCUCUCACCGCCGCUGCAUUACCAGAUGCCCUGCCCUCCACAUCAGCAGCAGUUCUCUCAUCUUCAUUAUCCAGUGUUGCCACUCCCUCUGUUGCCAUAUCCCCGUCCUCUGUGUCAUCAGCCACGCCCCCCGCUGUGGAGGCUCCUCCCCCUGCAGCAGAAGCCCCGCCCACUGCGCCCUCUGGUGCGGAGGCGGGCUCUCAGGAGUUCUACCUGGUCAAGUGGAUCACGUGGAAAGAGAAACAGACGCCGAUCGUCACCCAGAGCCAGAACGGA